GAUGAACGCUGGCGGCGUGCCUAAUACAUGCAAGUCGAGCGAAUGGAUUGAGAGCUUGCUCUUAUGAAGUUAGCGGCGGACGGGUGAGUAACACGUGGGUAACCUGCCCAUAAGACUGGGAUAACUCCGGGAAACCGGGGCUAAUACCGGAUAACAUUUUGAACCGCAUGGUUCGAAAUUGAAAGGCGGCUUCGGCUGUCACUUAUGGAUGGACCCGCGUCGCAUUAGCUAGUUGGUGAGGUAACGGCUCACCAAGGCAACGAUGCGUAGCCGACCGGAGAGGGUGAUCGGCCACACUGGGACUGAGACACGGCCCAGACUCCUACGGGAGGCAGCAGUAGGGAAUCUUCCGCAAUGGACGAAAGUCUGACGGAGCAACGCCGCGUGAGUGAUGAAGGCUUUCGGGUCGUAAGACUCUGUUGUUAGGGAAGAACAAGUGCUAGUUGAAUAAGCUAACACCUUGACGGUACCUAACCAGAAAGCCACGGCUAACUACGUGCCAGCCGCCGCGGUAA
rnacentral:rRNA from 1 species